rnacentral:pre_miRNA from 1 species
UUUUAUGGAUGAACAAAGAAAGUGGUUUACUGAGAUGGAACUUACUCUUAGUGAAGAUACUGUGAA